rnacentral:rRNA from 1 species
GGCGAACGCUGGCGGCGUGCUUAACACAUGCAAGUCGAACGGAAAGGCCCUGCUUUUGUGGGGUGCUCGAGUGGCGAACGGGUGAGUAACACGUGAGUAACCUGCCCUUGACUUUGGGAUAACUUCAGGAAACUGGGGCUAAUAUCGGAUAGGAGCUCCUGCUGCAUGGUGGGGGUUGGAAAGUUUCGGCGGUUGGGGAUGGACUCGCGGCGUAUCAGCUUGUUGGUGGGGUAGUGGCUUACCAAGGCUUUGACGGGUAGCCGGCAUGAGAGGGUGACCGGCCACAUUGGGACUGAGGUACGGAGCAGACUGCUACGGGAGGCAGCAGUGGGGAAUAUUGCACAAUGGGCGGAAGCCAGAUGCAGCAACGCCGCGUGCGGGAUAACGGCCUUCGGGUUGUAAACCGCUUUCGACUGUGACGAAGCGUGAGUGACGGUAAUGGGUAAAGAAGCACCGGCUAACUACGUG